rnacentral:rRNA from 1 species
GACGAGGGAUCCUAGCGUUGUUCGGAAUCACUGGGCGUAAAGCGUUUGUAGGCGGCUCUAUAAGUCGAGUGUGAAAGCCCCCGGCUCAACUGGGGAGGGUCACUCGAUACUGAUCGACUCGAAGGCAGGAGAGGGAAGUGGAAUUCCCGGUGUAGUGGUGAAAUGCGCAGAUAUCAGGAAGAACACCAAUGGCGAAAGCAGCUCUCUGGGACGGUACUGACGCUGAGACGCGAAAGCGUGGGGAGCGAACAGG